AAAUUGAAGAGUUUGAUCAUGGCUCAGAUUGAACGCUGGCGGCAGGCCUAACACAUGCAAGUCGAACGGUAACAGGAAGAAGCUUGCUUCUUUGCUGACGAGUGGCGGACGGGUGAGUAAUGUCUGGGAAACUGCCUGAUGGAGGG
rnacentral:rRNA from 1 species